CGGACCCCCGCCCCUGAGCCGCGCCGGACCAGCACCGAGGACCAUGGCCGGCCAGGGGGACUGCUGCGUCAAGGUGGCCGUCAGGAUCCGGCCCCAGUUGUCGAAGGAGAAGAUUGAGGGCUGUCACAUCUGUACCUCCGUCACCCCGGGGGAGCCCCAGGUCCUGCUGGGGAAGGACAAGGCCUUCACCUAUGACUUUGUCUUCGACCUGGACACCUGGCAGGAGCGGAUCUACUCAACCUGUGUGAGCAGGCUCAUCGAGGGCUGCUUCGAGGGCUACAAUGCCACAGUGCUGGCCUACGGGCAGACAGGAGCCGGGAAGACGUACACUAUGGGCACCGGGUUCGACGUGGCGACGUCGGAGGAGGAGCAGGGCAUCAUUCCCAGGGCCAUCGCGCACCUCUUCGGGGGCAUUGCUGAGCGCAAGCGGCGGGCGCAGGAGCAGGGCGUGCCUGGCCCUGAAUUCAAAGUCAGCGCUCAGUUCCUGGAGCUCUACAACGAGGAGAUCCUCGACCUGUUCGACAGCGCCCGGGACCCUGACGCCCGCCACCGCCGGUCCAACAUCAAGAUCCAUGAGGAUGCCAAUGGCGGCAUCUACACCACAGGUGUCACUUCUCGCCUCAUCAACUCCCAGGAGGAGCUGAUCCAGUGCCUGAAACAGGGCGCCCUCUCACGCACCACGGCCAGCACCCAGAUGAAUGUGCAGAGCUCCCGCUCCCAUGCCAUCUUCACCAUCCACCUGUGCCAGAUGCGUGUGUGCACCCAGCCGGACCUGGGGAGUGAGGCUGUGCCUGGGCUUCCUGAGGGCGCAGCUCCUACGAGUGAGUAUGAGACCCUCACCGCCAAGUUUCACUUUGUGGAUCUGGCUGGCUCGGAGCGCCUGAAGCGGACAGGAGCCACGGGCGAGCGGGCCAAGGAGGGCAUCUCCAUCAACUGUGGCCUGCUGGCCUUGGGCAAUGUGAUCAGCGCCCUGGGCGACCAGAGCAAGAAGGUGGUGCACGUGCCCUACAGGGACUCCAAGCUCACGCGGCUCCUGCAGGACUCACUGGGGGGCAACAGCCAGACCAUCAUGAUCGCCUGCGUGAGCCCCUCGGACCGGGACUUCAUGGAGACCCUGAACACGCUCAAAUACGCCAACCGGGCCCGCAACAUCAAGAACAAGGUGGUGGUGAACCAGGACAAGACCAGCCAGCAGAUCAGUGCGCUGCGGGCUGAGAUCGCACGUCUGCAGAUGGAGCUGAUGGAGUACAAGGCGGGCAAGCGCGUGAUUGGGGAGGACGGCGCCGAGGGCUACAGCGACCUGUUUCGGGAGAACGCCAUGCUGCAGAAGGAGAACGGGGCGCUGCGGCUGCGCGUGAAGGCCAUGCAGGAGGCCAUCGACGCCAUCAACAACCGCGUCACCCAUCUGAUGAGCCAGGAGGCCAACCUGCUCUUGGCCAAGGCCGGUGAUGGCAACGAGGCCAUUGGCGCUCUGAUCCAGAACUACAUCCGGGAGAUUGAGGAGCUGCGGACGAAGCUCCUGGAGAGUGAGGCCAUGAACGAGUCCCUCCGCCGCAGCCUCUCCCGGGCCUCUGCCCGGAGCCCCUACUCCCUGGGAGCAUCCCCGGCCUGCCCAGGCUUCAGCAGCCCGGCCAGCUCCAUGGAGGAUGCUUCCGAGGUCAUCCGCAGGGCCAAGCAAGACCUGGAGCAGCUGAAGAAGAAGGAGGUCAGGCAGCGCAGGAAGAGCCCAGAGAAGGAAGCCUUCAAAAAGAGGGCAAAACUCCAACAGGAAAACAGUGAGGAGACUGAGAAUGAGGCCGAGGAGGAGGAGGAAGAGCGAGACGAGAGUGGCUGUGAGGAAGAGGACGGGCGCGAGGAUGAAGACGAGGACUCGGGCAGUGAGGAAAGCCUGGUGGAUUCGGACUCAGACCCCGAGGAGAAGGAGGUGAACUUCCAGGCGGACUUGGCCGACCUGACGUGCGAGAUCGAGAUCAAGCAGAAGCUGAUCGACGAGCUGGAGAACAGCCAGCGGCGGCUGCAGACGCUCAAGCACCAGUACGAGGAGAAGCUCAUUCUGCUGCAGAACAAGAUCCGCGACACGCAGCUGGAGCGGGACCGGGUGCUGCAGAACCUCAGCACCAUGGAGUGCUACACGGAGGAGAAGGCCAACAAGAUCAAGGCGGACUACGAGAAGCGGCUGCGGGAGAUGAACCGGGACCUGCAGAAACUACAGGCGGCACAGAAGGAGCACGCCCGGCUGCUCAAGAACCAGUCGCGCUACGAGCGGGAGCUGAAGAAGCUGCAGGCCGAGGUGGCCGAGAUGAAGAAGGCCAAGGUGGCCCUGAUGAAGCAGAUGCGGGAGGAGCAGCAGCGGCGGCGGUUGGUGGAGACCAAGAGGAACCGAGAGAUCGCUCAGCUCAAGAAGGAGCAGCGGCGCCAGGAGUUCCAGAUCCGGGCUCUGGAGUCCCAGAAGCGGCAGCAAGAGAUCGUCCUGAGGAGGAAGACCCAGGAGGUGUCGGCGCUGAGGCGGCUGGCCAAGCCCAUGUCUGAGCGGGUGGCAGGGCGUGCGGCCCCGAAGCCACCUAUGCUGGACUCUGGGGCCGAGGUGUCGGCCAGCACCACCUCUUCGGAAGCCGAGUCGGGCGCCCGCUCUGUGUCCAGCAUCGUGCGCCAGUGGAACCGCAAAAUCAACCACUUCCUGGGGGACCACCCCGCGCCCACUGUCAAUGGCUCCCGCCCAGCCAGAAAGAAGUUCCAGAAGAAGGGGGCCAGCCAGAGCUUCAGCAAGGCGGCCAGGCUCAAGUGGCAGUCGCUGGAGCGGCGCAUCAUUGACAUCGUCAUGCAGAGAAUGACCAUCGUCAACCUGGAGGCCGACAUGGAGCGGCUCAUCAAGAAAAGGGAGGAGCUGUUCCUCCUGCAGGAGGCACUGCGGAGGAAGCGGGAGCGGCUGCAGGCCGAGAGCCCCGAGGAGGAGAAGGGGUUACAGGAGCUGGCAGAGGAGAUCGAGGUGCUGGCCGCCAACAUCGACUACAUCAACGACAGCAUCACCGACUGCCAGGCCACCAUCGUGCAGCUGGAGGAGACCAAGGAGGAGCUGGACUCCACAGACACGUCGGUGGUGAUCAGCUCCUGUUCCCUGGCGGAGGCCCGCCUCCUGCUGGACAACUUCCUCAAGGCGUCCAUCGACAAGGGGCUACAGGUGGCGCAGAAGGAGGCCCAGAUCCGGCUGCUGGAGGGGCGGCUGAGGCAAACGGACAUGGCGGGCUCCUCCCAGAACCACCUGCUCCUGGAUGCCCUGCGGGAGAAGGCCGAGGCGCACCCUGAGCUGCAGGCCCUCAUCUACAACGUGCAGCAGGGUGUGGAGAACGGCUACGCCAGCACGGACGAGGAGAUCUCGGAGUUCUCGGAGGGGAGCUUCUCCCAGUCUUUCACCAUGAAAGGCUCCACCAGCCACGAUGACUUCAAGUUGAAGGGUGAACCCAAGCUGUCUGCCCAAAUGAAGGCAGUGUCGGCCGAGUGCCUGGGGCCCCCACUGGACAUCUCCACCAAGAACAUCACCAAGUCCCUGGCCUCACUCGUUGAGAUCAAAGAGGACGGAGUGGGCUUCUCCAUCCGAGACCCCUACUACCGGGACAAGGUCUCGCGCACCGUCAGCCUGCCCACCCGGGGCAGCACUUUCCCCCGGCAGUCUCGAGCCGCGGACACGUCCCCUCUGACCCGGAGGAAGUCCUAUGACCGAGGGCAGCCCAUCAGGUCCUCGGACGUGGGAUUCACUCCUCCAUCGUCCCCUCCCACUCGGCCCCGCAAUGAUCGCAAUGUCUUCUCGCGGCUCACCAGUAACCAGAGCCAGGGGUCGGCACUGGACAAGUCUGACGACAGCGACUCCUCUGUGUCGGAGGCCCUGAGGGGCGUCAUCACGCCUGUCGGAGGAGCCAAGGGCGCUCGGACGGCCCCGCUGCAGUGCAUCUCCAUGGCCGAGGGCCACACCAAGCCCAUCCUCUGCCUGGAUGCCACGGACGAGUUGCUUUUCACCGGGUCCAAAGACCGCAGCUGCAAGAUGUGGAACUUAGUCACGGGGCAGGAGAUCGCCGCCCUGAAGGGCCACCCCAACAACGUGGUGUCCAUCAAGUACUGCAGCCUCUCGGGGCUCGUGUUCUCCGUGUCCACCUCCUACAUCAAAGUGUGGGACAUCCGGGACUCGGCCAAGUGCAUUCGGACCCUCACGUCCUCAGGCCAGGUGAUCUCAGGGGACGCCUGUGCUGCCACGUCCACCCGCGCCAUCACCAGCGCCCAGGGAGAGCAUCAGAUCAACCAGAUCGCGCUCAGCCCCUCCGGCAGCAUGCUGUACGCCGCCUCGGGCAACGCUGUCCGCAUCUGGGAGCUCAGCAGGUUCCAGCCCAUUGGCAAGCUGACUGGCCACAUCGGCCCCGUGAUGUGUCUGACAGUCACCCAGACCGCCAGCCAGCACGACCUCGUGGUGACCGGCUCCAAGGACCACUAUGUCAAGAUGUUCGAGCUGGGCGAGUGUGUGACCGGCACCAUCAGCCCCACCCACAACUUCGAGCCCCCGCACUACGAUGGCAUUGAGUGUCUCGCCAUCCAGGGAGACAUCCUGUUCAGUGGUUCCCGUGACAACGGCAUCAAGAAGUGGGACCUGGAGCAGCAGGAGCUCAUUCAGCAAAUCCCUAACGCACACAAGGACUGGGUGUGCGCCCUGGCCUUCGUCCCGGGUCGCCCCAUGCUGCUGAGCGCCUGCCGAGCCGGCGUCAUCAAGGUCUGGAACGUGGACAACUUCACGCCCAUCGGUGAGAUCAAGGGCCACGAUAGCCCCAUCAAUGCCAUCUGCACCAACGCCAAGCACAUCUUCACGGCCUCCAGUGACUGCCGGGUAAAGCUGUGGAAUUACGUCCCUGGACUCACCCCCUGCCUUCCUCGCCGAGUCCUGGCCAUAAAGGGCCGCGCCACCACCCUGCCCUGACCCCCUCCACCCUGUCUCUCUCUCUCUCUCUCUCUCUCUCUCUCCCCUCUCUCCUCCCCCCUCUCCCCCCACUUCGAUCUGAGCUGCUUCUUCACGUGACCUGACGGUGAAGUUCUGGAGCGUGCGGAGGGUGCCCGGAGUCGCAUCCUAGGAGCGAGGUCCGAGGGAUGCCCGACCCUCGGCCCCAGCCGCCCGGCCACCGUGGAGGGGAAGCCGUGGCUGGGGGCAGAGGCUGCGGCCCCCUCCCGCCCUGCUUGCUCUCGGCCUUCCCACCGAGCACUGCCCCUCAGAGAGAGGUUGGGAGACCGAGCCACGCAGCCAAGGGGCGUCACCCCUCUUCCUCCCCCUUCUGCCCGUGCUCUCCGCUGAGCCUCUGGGCCUUUCCCCGGGGCUCAGAGGGGAACUGAAGCAGCACAGCCCAGCCCCGUGGCGCCCCCCACCACGAGCGGGCCUCCCCUGUGUCUCAGCCCGGCCUCUGAGCCACUGCACCUGCCUCUGAGCCGAGUCCUCAGGUAACCCCGGGAGCCAGGUGCAGGCAGCUGGCCCUGUACCCUGGGGGCCCCAGCAGUGGCUCAGGGGCCUCUCCCAGGGGGCCAGGGUGGAGCUGCUUGGGGAGAUGGUCAGAAAUACUCCAGCCAUUUAAUUUAUUAUGUUUUUGUUUUUGUUUUUUGCUGUUGCCUCCUGGAAACUGACUUGAAGUUUCUUCCCACGUGUACUCUCCCUCCGCUCUCGGGGGGGUGGGGGCCAGGAACCCCCAGGGCCACCGCCUCCGUGUGCUGCGCACAGGAGGGGCGUGCCCCCUCCCACUCUGCAGCUUGGGCCUGUCCCCGCCCCUGCCCCCGGGGACCCUCCAGGCCGCCCAACGCUACAGUGCCUUCCCCCGUCCUGGGGCCUGGCACCCGUGCCGGGCAGCCUCAUACCAGCCAUGCCCGCCGCGCCACACGUGUCUUCUACCCCAGGGGCUCGGGCCCACCACCCCCAGAAAGGCAGGGCCUGCGAGGUCACACAGCGAGCAGCUCAGUGGACAGCCCCCCAGCAAGUUGGGGGGUGAGGGUCCCCGGGCUCCCCACCCAGCCCCGGGGGCUCACCCCAUCUCGGGGUUCCCCGCGCUUCUUCCACCCUGGUGUUGUCAGCAGCCGCGCUUUCUAGCCUUAAAACCGGCCUGGGCGUGGGACCCCCUCAGUGAGGAGCUCAGUGAGCUGCUCCCUCCUUCCUCUGGGACUGAGGCCUCCCAGCUCCAGCGUCCCGGCGCCCCCUGUUGGGGAAACUGUGGAUUUGCAGGAACGCUCCCCAGGCCCCACCCCUGCCCACACCGGUUUAUGUGGCAUCACCGGCCCUGGGCUCCGUCCCCAGGGCACGGUGACUUUGGGACUGCCGAGCUGGGGCCAGGGUGGCUGCUGUGGCCCAGGGAAGGCUGGGGGGCCUGUCCUCCUCCCACGGCUGCUCGCGCGUGGCCCUCAGGGACGUGCUGCUGGACUCUGGCUGUGCUGACCUGUGAGGAGCACCUGAACCCGGCCCUGGACACCUGGACAGCCCCCGGCGAGGCCAUCCCCCGGCGCCGGGCCCUCAGCGCUCAGAAGUGGCCACAAGUCUCUUCCCGCCCACGUCCGCCCCUCCCCAGCCACCUGCCACAGAAACUUGCCGCCCGUAGGGAAGAUGCGUCGCACGGCUGUUUACGUACACACUGCCGGAGCUGGGAGACCUGCACCCGGGCUGACCGUGCCCGGGUGCUCUUCAGUUCCGGGAGAGGUGCUGGGCGCCAUGGCCGUGUCCUGCUGUUUCUGCUGGGUCAGCUACCUCACGCGGGGCCGGCUCUGCUGUCCUGGCGAGCGUCACUGACUUACGUCCCCGGGAGUCCUGGUCCGCUCCGAGCUGUGCUCCACGGGCGCCGUCCCUGACGCUCUCUCAGGGAGCCCGAGGCCCAGGGCCAGGCCCCAGCUCCGCUCAGCGCACAAGGCCCCACGUGUCGGAAGCACAGUAAUGGUUGCCAUGGAGCACAACGGGGCCCCGGCCAGAGAUAGACCGCGUGGGCCCGGCUCGUCCUGAUCCUGGGCCCGAUCCCGUUACUUCCUGUCCCUCCGUGCCCGUCCCUAAGACUUGAGACCAAGCCACAUGUGUGUGCCGGGGGCCCCGUACAGACCCUGGAUCUUCACACACCUGGGCACAGCCGGGGUCCCCACCCUAUUGAGCCUGAAGAGCUUGGACCCCAGAGUGCCCAUGUCUGGGACUGAGACCCCGUCCACACCUUUGAAGCUGACUGCAGGCUCCUGGGGCAGAAGGUGGCUCCCAUCCCCGUGGCCGGCGGGACCAGGCCCCGGUCUCGGUGUGAACCAGUUCAGUGUUUGCUUUCCUGUGAGUGACUGACCCCUCCCAGGCUCCACCGGAGCACCUCCGGGGCCUGCCGUGGGGGAAUCGGCCAGGCGGAGGCCAGUGCACCUGCGGCCCGGCUGCAGCUUGGGAAAUGCCUGGUCCUUGGUGAUGGCCCUGCUGCCCACCCUGGGGCUAUGUGGUGGCCGCAGGACACUUAAGGGCACAGCCGCUGUGGGGAGGGAGGACGCUGGGUCGCUGGGACCCCUCGUGCCUCCUGGUGUGGGGGCUGCGGGCAGCAGCUGCCUGCUGUGAGGUUGGCGCCCAGCCCCCCGCCGACCCUGCCGGGCUCCCCCGAUGUCAUCUGGGGCCGUGUCCGCCCUGCAGGAGUGAUGAGCGCCUUCCCGCUGCAGGGCCCAGGCCUGUGGUAUCUGUCCCUUUGCCAUCAUGGACAGGGAAGCACUUGCUGCUUCCCCUGCUGGGCCAAGGCCUCCUCAGGCCUUCCAGGGCCCGGGGGGCCCCCCUGCUGGCUCCCUGACCCUCCGCUGCCCUCUGAAGUGCAAGGACCGAAUCUGCGGGGAAGUUCUGGGUCAUCAUCCGACCCCUGCCCAUCCCCAGCCCCCUCCUCGCUUGGCUCUGUCCUUUGAAGCUGGCCCCCAGGGCCCAGCAGGGAAGCGGGGAGUGGGAGCGGAGCGCCAGGGUGAUGGGUGACGCGAGCGGGGCCCUCCCGGCUCGCUGUCCUCCCGCAAUGGCGAGCACAAGUGUGUGUGUUUUGUACCUCUGCCGCCGGCUGUACAUAGUGUGUGGAAGCGAUGGGAGCCGCCUGCUGUACAUUUCCGUUCCUAGGUGGGAUGUGUGUGUUCUAAGAUGUUGUCAUAAAUAAAACC